rnacentral:rRNA from 1 species
AUUGAACGCUGGCGGAAUGCUUUACACAUGCAAGUCGAACGGCAGCACGGGGCAACCUGGUGGCGAGUGGCGAACGGGUGAGUAAUAUAUCGGAACGUGCCCAAUCGUGGGGGAUAACGUAGCGAAAGUUACGCUAAUACCGCAUACGAUCUACGGAUGAAAGCGGGGAUCGCAAGACCUCGCGCGAAUGGAGCGGCCGAUAUCAGAUUAGGUAGUUGGUGGGGUAAAGGCUCACCAAGCCAACGAUCUGUAGCUGGUCUGAGAGGACGACCAGCCACACUGGAACUGAGACACGGUCCAGACUCCUACGGGAGGCAGCAGUGGGGAAUUUUGGACAAUGGGCGCAAGCCUGAUCCAGCCAUUCCGCGUGCAGGAUGAAGGCCUUC